ACUCCUACGGGAGGCAGCAGUGGGGAAUUUUGGACAAUGGGGGAAACCCUGAUCCAGCCAUCCCGCGUGUGCGAUGAAGGCCUUCGGUUGUAAAGCACUUUGGCAGGAAAGAAACGUCGCGGGUUAAUACCCGCGAAACUGACGGUACCUGCAGAAUAAGCACCGGCUAACUACGUGCCAGCAGCCGCGGUAAUACGUAGGGUGCAAGCGUUAAUCGGAAUUACUGGGCGUAAAGCGUGCGCAGGCGGUUCGGAAAGAAAGAUGUGAAAUCCCAGAGCUUAACUUGGAACUGCAUUUUAACUACCGGGCUAGAGUGUGUCAGAGGGGAGGUGGAAUUCCGCGUGUAGCAGUGAAAUGCGUAGAUAUGCGGAGGAACACCGAUGGCGAAGGCAGCCUCCUGGGAUAACACUGACGCUCAUGCACGAAAGCGUGGGAGCAAACAGGAUUAGAUACCCUGGUAGCGACUGA
rnacentral:rRNA from 1 species